UCCUUAAUAGUCCAGUGGCUAGGAUAUCUCGCUUUCAUCAUCUGGUCUUAGACCAGACGAAAGCUGCCGAGAAGACCGGGGUUCAAUUCCCCGUUAAGGAA